AUGCUUACCUGGCAGGGGAGAAACAGCGAUCGGGAAGGUUGUGUUUCCUGGGAUGAGACUAUCCUUUUGCACAUUGACGCCUGUGAUAUCUUCAAAGACGAGAUACUCGACUGUGAAAUUUGUGGUAGCGGGGGGACUAGGUUCGCGUUUUCCCCUU